rnacentral:rRNA from 1 species
GCUUGACUGUAGCUUGUAAUUGGGUUCGGGCUUUUUUUGCGCAGCCUAGGUGGGAGGCAACGAUGAUUUUUUUCCGGAAAAAUUUAAGCCGUUAGUGAGAGACCACUCUGAAAAGGCUAGAAUCCUAAUAAUGAUCCUUGAAUCAGGACAUUUGACAGUUGCAGGUGGGCAGUUUUACUGGGGCGGUAUUCUCCUAAAAAGUAACGGAGGGGUGCAAAGGUUCCCUCAAGCUGGACGGAAAUCAGCUUAAGAGUGUAAGGUCAGAAGGGAGCUUGACUGCAAGACCUACAAGUCGAGCAGGGGCGAAAGCCGGCCUUAGUGAUCCGACGGUACCACGUGGAAGGGCCGUCGCUCAACGGAUAAAAGUUA